rnacentral:ncRNA from 2 species
ACCAAUCACAGCGGUGAUUUGGAUCGGUUACUUGCAACCGCUAUAAAAAUGAUGCUAAAGGCCGGGAUCAGAAUGUC